GGCGACGAGCGCAGUGAGGAGCCAGGCGGCGCUGCCGGACGCGGAGCGUCCCUCGUAAUGGAAGGGGGUCGCCGGUUCGAGUCCGGCCGUCGGCU
rnacentral:tRNA from 1 species